GGGGGGGGGGGGGGGGGGGGGGGGGGGGGGGGGGGGGGGGGGGGGGGGGGGGGGGGGGGGGGGGGGUUUUUUUUUUUUUUUUUUUUCCCCUCCUUCUCAGAGGCUAAGUUCAAAUGUGCGGCCGUUAUUUAUUUAUCACCUCCCCGCUGAUGUAUUAUUCAUUUAUUUAAAAAUGUAUGGGGCAGCUGGGGUGUUUAAUCACCCCAAAGGGUGGUCGGGGCCAGGUGGGGCCGGCCCCUCGCCCCGCCGCUAACCUGGCGCGGGGGCUUCACGCCUGAGUGGCCACGGAGCCACCCCAAAUUGUCACCAGACCCUGCCGGGGCCACUGGGGAUGCUGCAGGGGUAGCCAAGCCCCCAGCGCUGCUGCUGUUGUCAUCAUUCCCCUCUCCCUGCGUUGGUUUGGUUUUUUUUUUUGGGAUUGGUGGUGAGGGCGUGGCACAGUGAUGGGCACGACUGGGUGGAAGAGGCUAAAAAAAGGCAGGAAAAAGGGAAAAAUUAAGCUGGGAUUUCCUUCCCUGCACCAUGGGAGGAGGGGACACAUCCAGCCCUGGUGGCAUCUCGCUGUCCCCAAACCAAUGUGAGGAUAACAGGGUGGAAAGGGGAUUUUAAAAAGGCAGAAAAAGGAAAAAUAAGGCUGGGAUUUCCUUCUCUGCACCAUGGGAGGAGGGGACACAUCCAGCCCUGGUGCCACCUCUCGCUGUCCCCAACUCAGUGAAAGGAUAACAGGGUGGAAAGGGGAUAAAAAAAGACAGAAAAGGGGAAAAAUAAGGCUGGGAUUUCCAUCCCCGCUCCAAAACGCGGAUGGGAGGAGGGGACACCUCCAGCCCUGUGGCAUCUCCCGCUGUCCCCAAAGCAAUGCAAGGAGAACCGACAUUUGAAAAGGCAGAAAAAAGGGAAAACAAGGCUGGGAUUUC
rnacentral:lncRNA from 12 species